AACGAACGCUGGCGGCGUGGAUAAGACAUGCAAGUCGAGCGCUGGUUGCAGGGUAGCAAUAUUCUGCAAUUGGAGCGGCGCAAGGGUGCGUAACACGUGGGCAAUCUGCCGUGAAGUUUGGGAUAAUUCCGCGAAAGCGGGACUAAUACCGGAUGUGGCAACUGGGAGGCAUCUUCUGGUUGCUAAAGUUGGGGACCGUAAGGCCUGACGCUUCAUGAUGAGCCCGCGGCCUAUCAGCUAGUUGGUGAGGUAAUGGCUCACCAAGGCUAAGACGGGUAGCUGGUCUGAGAGGACGACCAGCCACACUGGAACUGAGACACGGUCCAGACACCUACGGGUGGCUG
rnacentral:rRNA from 1 species